UACGGAGGAUCCGAGCGUUAUCCGGAUUUAUUGGGUUUAAGGGUGCGCAGGCGGGAUGUUAAGUCGGCGGUGAAAUUUUGCAGCUCAACUGUAAAAGUGCCUUCGAUACUGGCUUUCUUGAGUGUGGAUGAAGUAGGCGGAAUUUGUGGUGUAGCGGUGAAAUGCUUAGAUAUCACGAGGAACUCCGAUUGCGCAGGCAGCUUACUAAACCACUACUGACGCUCAUGCACGAAGGCGUGGGGAUCAAACAGGAUUAGAUACCCCGGUA
rnacentral:rRNA from 1 species